rnacentral:lncRNA from 1 species
AAGGUCACUCGCAGCUGAUUGACCCUUUUUGCUAUGGACUCUGUUCAAGCACAUUUGGAGAUGCAGAUUGUUUUGCAUUAUGCAAAGCCAAACAAUUCGAAGACGGGAAUUGCAUUGUACAAACCCAGCAACUACAAUGUUGUUGCAGCCGCUAGAAAAAGACAGACACACAGGCACUGGAGGACCCAGAUUUUUUUAACGGAGGUGCAAUAUUGACUAAGUAUGAAAAAUAGUUUUUCGAAAUAAUAUAAACUUUUGUUUAAUGAAGUAGAAAUUGCUGGAUGUUUCUUGGUUCAAGGUUAAAUUAUUUCUUUUAAUUUCCCAACCACCACUGGCGGACCCAGAAUUUUUUUAACGGAGGUGCAAUAUUGACCAAGUAUGAAAAAUAGUUUUUAAAAAUAAUUAUUUUCUCAAUAUAAUUUUUGGCGGCUUUUAUUCCUUACACAUCAAAUAAGAAAAUUUAAUUUUAUGAGAUUUUAGUAUGAAGUAUAUAUUGACUUAAUGAGCCAUCAUUUUUAGCCUAAAUCGUAUUUUGCACUAAAACCGAUUUUUUAUAUUUUGAUUUGGUGGGAAUUUGAUUUUCUAGUAUUUUUAUUUGAAUCCAAAUGGGGGGUACUUUCUUAUUUACAUUGUAAACUUAAGUAAAUGAAGUAAUAUAAAAAUAAAUGAAAGUAAAAGGACAAAAACAUUUACUUAAAUGUUGAAAAUAGAAAUAAGGUAAUCUGUACACCAGUUAAGCAAAUGGACAAUUUGAAACACAUACAAUAAUUUUUCCGAUUAGAGAAAGUGCAGCUGCACCUCCUUGCGCCUUAAUAGAUCCGCCACUGCACACAGGCAAGAUUAAAUUGAUUAUUCGAGAAAAUAAAACUAUGGCCACACAUGAAUCAUGAUCUUCCUU